CAGCAGCCGCGGUAAUACGGAGGGUGCAAGCGUUAAUCGGAAUUACUGGGCGUAAAGCGUGCGUAGGCGGUUCGUUAAGUCUGUUGUGAAAGCCCCGGGCUCAACCUGGGAAUGGCAAUGGAUACUGGCGAGCUAGAGUGUGUCAGAGGAUGGUGGAAUUCCCGGUGUAGCGGUGAAAUGCGUAGAGAUCGGGAGGAACAUCAGUGGCGAAGGCGGCCAUCUGGGACAACACUGACGCUGAGGCGCGAAAGCGUGGGGAGCGAACAGGAUUAGAUACCCGAGUAGUCCCUGUCUCUUAUAC
rnacentral:rRNA from 1 species